AUUUCCUAAUUAAAAUGUCUAAAAACGACUAAACUUAUGUUAUAUAUUUUUGUGAAUUUACAUUAUCCCAAAUGUUUCCAACAAUUUUCAAACCUAGAGAAAUCAUUUUAAUGAAGGUAACUGUCCGUUUCAUUUGGUCGCCUGUAAUGGCAUCGUAUCCCCUCUACGCAUGCGUCAGCAUUGUGGUCGUCUGCCAGAUGGCAUCAUAAAUGAGUGCUUAGAUGGAGUCUUCAGAAGAAGCUGGAGGCCGAUCCAUCCUCCCGCGUUUCAUUGAUCAGUCUGCUGGUCAAAGAGUUGGACAAGAUGCAGGGGAGUAUCCACAAGAUGCGAUCCUACACCCAUGUCAUCCCAGUGCUGCACACUCUCUACUAUGUGGUUAUUAAGUCAGGUGACAUGAUUCCCACCAGCGUUUACCAGACCGUGUAUGAGUGUUUGAUGAAACUGCUGAUAUUACCGUCGCCUUACUCUGCUGUGGCCCUGAGCGUUCUGAGA
rnacentral:lncRNA from 1 species